rnacentral:rRNA from 1 species
GACGAACGCUGGCGGCGUGCUUAACACAUGCAAGUCGAACGGAAAGGCCUCUUUCGGGGGGUACUCGAGUGGCGAACGGGUUAGUAACACGUGAGUAACCUGCCCUUGACUUUGGGAUAACUUCAGGAAACUGGGGCUAAUACCGGAUAGGAGCUCCUGCUGCAUGGUGGGGGUUGGAAAGUUUCGGCGGUUGGGGAUGGACUCGCGGCUUAUCAGCUUGUUGGUGGGGUAGUGGCUUACCAAGGCUUUGACGGGUAGCCGGCCUGAGAGGGUGACCGGCCACAUUGGGACUGAGAUACGGCCCAGACUCCUACGGGAGGCAGCAGUGGGGAAUAUUGCACAAUGGGUGGAAGCCUGAUGCAGCAACGCCGUGUGCGGGGUGACGGCCUUCGGGUUGUAAACCGCUUUCGCUCAUGACGAAGCUUUGUGUGACGGUAGUGGGUAAAGAAGCACCGGCUAACUACGU